UACAGAGGGUGCGAGCGUUAAUCGGAAUUACUGGGCGUAAAGCGUGCGUAGACGGCUAUCUAAGUCGGGUGUGAAAGCCCCGGGCUCAACCUGGGAAUUGCAUUCGAGACUGAAUAGCUAGGGUGCGGUAGAGGGAAGCGGAAUUUCCGGUGUAGCGGUGAAAUGCGUAGAGAUGGAGAGGAACACCGAUGGCGAAGGCAGCCCUCUGGGCCAACACUGACGCUCAGGCACGAAAGCGUGGGGAGCAAACAGG
rnacentral:rRNA from 1 species